AGGCCCCCAUCAUGUCUAGCACUAGGCUCUGACCACCUCUUGAAGACAUGGUGCUCCCUUAGGACCUUUGACACCUGGGGGUCUGAGGGACCC
ensembl:snoRNA